AGCAUGUGGUUUAAUUCGAAGCAACGCGCAGANCCUUACCACCUUUUGACAUGCCUGGACCGCCAGAGAGAUCUGGCUUUCCCUUCGGGGACUAGGACACAGGUGCUGCAUGGCUGUCGUCAGCUCGUGUUGUGAAAUGUUGGGUUAAGUCCCGCAACGAGCGCAACCCUUAUCCUUUGUUGCCAGCGGUUCGGCCGGGAACUCAAAGGAGACUGCCAGUGAUAAACUGGAGGAAGGUGGGGAUGACGUCAAGUCAUCAUGGCCCUUACGAGUAGGGCUACACACGUGCUACAAUGGCAUAUACAAAGAGAAGCGACCUCGCGAGAGCAAGCGGACCUCAUAAAGUAUGUCGUAGUCCGGAUUGGAGUCUGCAACUCGACUCCAUGAAGUCGGAAUCGCUAGUAAUCGUAGAUCAGAAUGCUACGGUGAAUACGUUCCCGGGCCUUGUACACACCGCCCGUCACACCAUGGGAGUGGGUUGCAAAAGAGGUAGGUAGCUUAACCUUCGGGAGGGCGCUUACCACUUUGUGAUUCAUGACUGGGGUGAAGUCGUAACAAGGUAACCGUAGGGGAACCUGCGGCUGGAUCACCUCCUU
rnacentral:rRNA from 1 species